UCCUUGGAGGUCCAGUGGUUAGGACUCAGUGCUUUCAUUGCUGUGGCCCAGGUUCAGUCCCUGGUUAGGGAA
rnacentral:tRNA from 1 species